AUAAACUAAAAAACGACAACUUUUCUAGCAUCCCUUCGCCCACCAACCGCCAAAAAAUGGAAACCCUAGGCGAUAUAGGGCAAGAAAUUGAGAGAGGAAUGGGAGAGACGCAACUUCCUUUAAUUAUUCUUUGCUUUUUCAUGUAAUUUGCUCCCUUUAAUUUCUCUCUGUCUCUCCUCUUCGAUUCUCUUCUUCCAAUUUGAAAUACGUGCCUUCUCAGCUUCAUCUCAAUGUCUAAGAGGGUACUUUGCAAGUUCUUUGCUCAUGGAGCAUGUUUAAAAGGGGAGCAUUGUGAGUUUUCACAUGACUGGAAAGAUCCACCAAAUAAUAUUUGCACCUAUUAUCAAAAAGGAAUCUGCUCUUAUGGCAGUCGAUGCAGGUAUGAACAUGUUAAACUAUCUAGGUCAGAUACUGCUUCAUCUUCAUCAACACUUCCUCAUCAAUCUAUGGUAUCAACUUCCGUUCCUCUGGCUCGUCCUCUGAGAACUGGAUUUGGCAGGGGAACAUCAAUCCCAGCUGCUUCUGGAGAGCUUUCUGCUUCAAGUAGACCUUACUUCCCUCCAACCAAGCCAGCAUGGAAUUUGGACUCUAGACCAAACAACUUUUUAGAAAACGAUGGCAUUAUAGAACCAAGGAAUGUUAAGCCAGAAGAUCGUUCUCUCUGUUCAUUUGCUGCUGCUGGUAAUUGCCCUCGUGGAGAUAAAUGUCCUCAUAUUCAUGGUGACAUUUGCCCCACUUGUGGGAAACAUUGCUUGCAUCCUUUCAGACCUGAAGAAAGAGAGGAACAUUUGAAAACAUGUGAGAAGAAUCAAAAGCAUAUCGAGGCAUUAAAACACAGUCAAGAUAUAGAGUGCAGUGUAUGUCUAGAUCGUGUGCUUGCAAAACCCACAGCAGCUGAACGAAAGUUUGGGCUGUUAUCAGAAUGUGAUCAUCCCUUCUGUAUAUCCUGUAUUAGGAACUGGCGUAGUAACUCCCCAACGUCUGGAAUGGAUGUCAAUACUGCAUUGAGGGCUUGCCCAAUAUGCCGUAAGCUUUCAUAUUUUGUCGUUCCAAGUGUCAUUUGGUAUUCCUCUAAAGAAGAAAAGCAGGAAAUUAUUGAUAGCUACAAGGCAAAACUGAGGUCUAUAGAUUGCAAGCAUUUUGACUUUGGCAAUGGGAACUGCCCAUUUGGGACAAGUUGUUUUUACAAGCAUGCAUACCGAGAUGGCUGUUUGGAGGAAGUCGCUCUGCGUCAUCUUGGGGCUGAAGAUGGAAAUACUGUGAUCGCAAAAAAUAUAAGGCUAUCAGAUUUCCUUGGUAGCCUACAAAUAAGUUGAAUCAGGCUGUUCAAUCAUUCCCAUGUCAACCAACAAUAUCAAGAUAUUUAUAUUUUCAACUUGUGAAAGGUCUUCAAUUUCCUGUAUCAAACUCUAGUUGUUUGUGAGGAUUGCUUGCUAGAGUUGACUUAAUUAUGGGAAGCUGGAAGGUGUGUAAUAAACUGCAUAUUAUGUUAAGAUGAAAUAAUAGUGUGAAGAAAACGUCAACCGCGAUGCAAAAAAUUACAUUUAGCGAUAAGUUAUGAACUUGCCGAUGAAUAUCAAUUUGAAGAAUGGAUGAUGUUUGCCAAUAAGCUUGCUUCCCUCACAGCAGAAAUGGCAGUGAACUGUGUGUAGCUAUUGGAUUUUUAUACCCUUAUCAUCCUCAAUAUUAUGAGGUAUACAUGUCGUGAUUUCUGGAAAAUUGAUUAUCAGGGCAGGUGUCUCAUACCAAUUUAGAUCUUCCUUGGUAAAGCUGCAUUGUGUAUGAGUUGCAUGUAUAAUGAUUUUGACACUGAAGUAUACAAAUGAGAUUUUAAUA